AUAUGACCACAUGUGACUAUAUAUGACUACAUGUAUAUGACCACAUGUGACUAUAUGAGUAUAGUCAUAUAUAGUGUAGUUUGUGGUAUAUAGCUUCAAAUCCCACUUUUCAGUACGACAACAACCCCGAUCUCUCGACAAAACUUAUUACAUAGAGGUUGUCAAACACGAAGACCUGUGACAAAAAAAUCAAGUUCAGUUUAAAUAUUUACAUUAUAUAUUAAUUUAUAACCAAUAAAUACAGAUCAAAAUAACAAUCACAUGCAUAUGUUACUAUAUGUUACUAUAUAUUACUACACAUUAUUAUAUAGAACAAUAGUAAUUUGUAGUUUGACUAUAUUUUCCAAAUUCAUCUACAGCUUCAAUCAAAAUUUGGACACCUUCAAAGAAAAGACCAAUGGUUUCCAUUAAUUUACAAUUUCAAACUCAGGAAACACAAAUUAACAAAAGACUACUAAUAAUUAAAUUGAUUAACACAAAAUUGAUGGGAAGAAAGAGAGCAACGAAACGAAAAAAAACCAACCACGAUGCUUAUAGCCUGCUAUUUUGUUGUAUUAUAUGUGAGCUUUGAAGAUUUACUCAAAAAAAAGAUGUGAGCUUUGAAGAUGAUAACCUUUUUACUUUAUUCUUUGCAGAAUGCUUUAUUUAAAAAAAACCAAAAACAAAAAAAAAAAAAAAAACAGAAAAAACCAAAAAAAAACAAAUCACAAAAACUUAUCAAACUCAAAAUUACCCUCCCAUGAGGAUGAGUCAGCAAACCAAAUAAUCACAACACCGCACAAAACAAACAACCAUCAUUAAUUUAGAAUUAAUUCAGAUCUAUUUUUUUUUACCUGAAAACUAAAUUUCUUUCUCCGGUUGGAAGGAAUCGGAUCGCCGAUCGAGUAACAGGAGCGGUGGAGUUGCAGUGGAUCUAGCGACGGAAGAUAUGGUCGCCCCCGAAUCUGGGGAGAGUCUCCUUUCAGAGGGGCAGGUUUGGCGGCCAAGCACUAGAUGGUGCAGCGGCGAAAGCGUCGGUGACACCGACGGAGGAAGAGAGGGAACGCAGCGAGCGGCAUAAGAGAGGGCAUCGUGAGAAAGAGAGGGCUAGGGUUUGGGGAGU
rnacentral:lncRNA from 1 species